rnacentral:rRNA from 1 species
UACAGAGGUCCCGAGCGUUGUUCGGAUUCACUGGGCGUAAAGGGUGCGUAGGUGGGUUGGUAAGUCAGUGGUGAAAUCUCCAGGCUUAACUUGGAAACUGCCAUUGAUACUAUCAAUCUUGAAUACCGUGGAGGUCAGCGGAAUAUGUCAUGUAGCGGUGAAAUGCUUAGAUAUGACAUAGAACACCAAUUGCGAAGGCAGCUGGCUACACGAAUAUUGACACUGAUGCACGAAAGCGUGGGGAUCAAACAGG